rnacentral:rRNA from 1 species
UAUAAGUGAUGGCGACCGGCGCACGGGUGAGUAACACGUAUCCAACCUGCCGAUAACUCGGGGAUAGCCUUUCGAAAGAAAGAUUAAUACCCGAUGGUAUAAUAAAACCGCAUGGUUUAAUUAUCAAAGAAUUUCGGUUAUCGAUGGGGAUGCGUUCCAUUAGGCAGUUGGUGAGGUAACGGCUCACCAAACCUUCGAUGGAUAGGGGUUCUGAGAGGAAGGUCCCCCACAUUGGAACUGAGACACGGUCCAA